rnacentral:rRNA from 1 species
GGCGUAGGGGCGGCUUACCAUGCAGUCGAGCGGUAGCAGGGAGAAAGCUUGCUUUCUCCGCUGACGAGCGGCGGACGGGUGAGUAAUGUCUGGGGAUCUGCCUGAUGGAGGGGGAUAACUACUGGAAACGGUAGCUAAUACCGCAUAACGUCGCAAGACCAAAGUGGGGGACCUUCGGGCCUCAUGCCAUCAGAUGAACCCAGAUGGGAUUAGCUAGUAGGUGAGGUAAUGGCUCACCUAGGCGACGAUCCCUAGCUGGUCUGAGAGGAUGACCAGCCACACUGGAACUGAGACACGGUCCAGACUCCUACGGGAGGCAGCAGUGGGGAAUAUUGCACAAUGGGCGCAAGCCUGAUGCAGCCAUGCCGCGUGUAUGAAGAAGGCCUUCGGGUUGUAAAGUACUUUCAAUAGGGAGGAAGGUGUCCGCCUCUAAUAGCACGUUCAAAUGACCCCAACAUACAAACCAUGCACCGGUUAACUCCGUGCGAGCUGCCGAGGUAAUGCGAGGUUUGCCGUUUUAAUCGAAUUAACCGGGGCGUAUAGCGCACGCGGGCGGUCUCGUUAAGUUGUAUGUGAAUUCUCCGCGGUUGAGGCUGGUACACUGCAUGGCGAGAGAGUUAACGUAUAGUCUCGGAAAGGCAGGUCUAAGGGGCAGUGUCUCGAAGAAAUGCUUAUACAUCUGGAGGACUACCGGGUGUAUAAAGCCGGUGUUCUGCUCACGAACGACUGUCGCUCAUGAGCGAAAGUCUUGCGGCCGAGGACGGCGAUUAUA